GCCAAAGUUUUUAUAUAGGUAUGCUCUUUUAUACAAAAAAAAUAAGACACUUUUUUAUUUUCACAUGGGGCUCAAUAAUUCUUAUGUCAAAUACUGAGUUACAUAUUAAAGGGACACUAUAGUCACCAGAACAACUACAGCUUAAUGUAGUUGUUCUAGUGAGUACAAUCAUUAUAUGCAGGAAUUUUCAUGCAAACACGGCCUUUUCAGAGAAAAAGUACCCUAGGGACACCUCUAAGUGGCCACUCCUCCGAUGAGGAUGCUGAAUUUUCCUCAUAGUGAUGCGUUGAUUGGCAAUUCUGAUGAUGUAACCAAGAAGUAGGAUCGGGGGUGGGGCCAGCGCUGGAUAAGGUAUGGUAAGAUAAGGUAUGUUUUAAUUCCUUUUAAGGGGGCUAAGGGUUUAACACUAUAGCGUCAGGAAUACAUGUUUGUGUUUCU